rnacentral:lncRNA from 8 species
GAAACAUGAACACUUGCCUCCGGAACGAAACAACGUGCUUAACGGCAUCUGCCUGAAAACCUGCCGACAGUACACGAAAACUGCUAGCAAACUUACCAAAACGACUCAGCUCUUUCCUGAUUUGAUCAUCCGUAAUAAACGGAGGGAAAUUUGCAACUACCACCCUUGUCGAAGGGGUAGAAAGAGGUGAAAUUGGCACUAACACACCCCUUACAAUUAUUCCACUAGCAAUUAGCCUACCAACCAAAUUUGCUCUUAUCAUGAACACAACCACAGCUUUGUUCAUUCUAGAAGCGGAAUGUAUAAAUUCAGCUCCUACCUGUUCACCGACCGCGAGCAGAACCUCCUCCACCUUAACUCCAUUCUCAGGAACACACCUGAAUCCAUGCCGUAUCGACAGUGUCUCCUCCGCGCUAGGCUGAGAAGCCAUCGCGCACAUCACACCUUCCAAACCCCAGGAAACUAACUCUGUCCUCUUCCACCCCAAACUUUGAAAAAAACGGUGGAUACUGCUAAAACAAAUAGUGCAUUAACCCUCCACCAUAGAAAAUUAAAUUGAAAGAAAAGACCAAGAACAGAAUCAAGAAAGUUAGUUAGGACAGAGCCCUCCACACCAAACGCUCAAACUCCAAAAAACUCCCAGCAUGCACUGCAAAAGAGAGAGAGAGAAAGAGGAGAGAGAGAAAGAGAGGCGAGAGACAGUCAUGCAGAUGAACAGCUCCUGACUUUCUACAACUUUUAGGUUGUUAAGAGUGAAAUUAACAAGAUUCAAUUAACCCAAAAAUAUAGGUAAUCAAAUUGUACAACUGAAGAUCAACACAGGAUGAAAAGAUUGACAGGCGCACCCCACAGGCUCCACCCACCACCAGAGCAUCACCACCUCCAUCGGCGUAGCCAGACUGGACCGGGCCCAGCCUACUACCCCACACCAGACCACCACCUCCACCAGACCAGAGAGGCAGCCCCCCAUCCCAGACCUGGGCCCAGAUUAACAAAACACUUCUUACGCAAAAACUCAAGAUUUUUUGAUAAGAUAGUUCGUAAGUGCAAUUCCUCAACAAUAUCUUAAGAUUUUGUCAUUUUCUUACAAACUUUUCAAAUAUCUUAUUAAUCUAGUUAAAAUGUGUGUUGCUAGGCAACCAAUUUAGCUAGCUAACUAGCUUACAAUGGUAAUCAUGUUAGCAUAUUUCGUACUUAGAUUACUGUUCUAAAACAUGCUCUUGGGUUUAAAAUAAUCAAUACUGAAACUUUCAAUUGCUUUCAUGAGCUUAUUCUCUCACUGCCCUGGGUUUAAGACAAGGGUUUAGCUAUCUUGGAAUUAAGAACAAAUCCAAUAACUUUAUUUUCAAGAUUCAAAUUUCUUCUUUACUUUUUGCUUUAGGAGAAACAUAAUAAAUAGUGCAAUAACAUUUCCAAGAACCUUUUUGAGGAAUAGCAACUUUGCUUAACUUUCUUCAUAAGUCUUUAGUUUUAAGGAACAAAUGGCAGUUAAGAAUACAUUUCUUCAUAAGAAGGUUUUGUGUAUCUGGGCCCUGACCCCCCUCCAU